AACGAACGCUGGCGGCAGGCUUAACACAUGCAAGUCGAACGCCCCGCAAGGGGAGUGGCAGACGGGUGAGUAACGCGUGGGAAUCUACCUAGUUCUACGGAACAACAGUUGGAAACGACUGCUAAUACCGUAUACGCCCUAAGGGGGAAAGAUUUAUCGGAAUUAGAUGAGCCCGCGUAAGAUUAGCUAGUUGGUGGGGUAAUGGCCUACCAAGGCGACGAUCUUUAGCUGGUCUGAGAGGAUGAUCAGCCACACUGGGACUGAGACACGGCCCAGACUCCUACGGGAGGCAGCAGUGGGGAAUAUUGGACAAUGGGCGAAAGCCUGAUCCAGCCAUGCCGCGCGAGUGAUGAAGGCCUUAGGGUUGUAAAGCUCUUUCAGUAGGGAAGAUAAUGACGGUACCUACAGAAGAAGCCCCGGCUAACUUCGUGCCAGCAGCCGCGGUAAUACGAAGGGGGCUAGCGUUGUUCGGAUUUACUGGGCGUAAAGCGCACGUAGGCGGAUUGUUAAGUCGA
rnacentral:rRNA from 1 species